GUAAGCCCUUCGUUAUACACUAACGAACUCAGAAGCUUGCAAACCACAACUCUAGUGUGCUCUUUCUCCUCUCUGACACUCGGGAUUUUCAAGAUCAAACGAGACAAGUGUGUUGAGCAUUUUCUACUGUGGCGAAGAACAAAAUAAAUGGAAGAGAGAGUAUUAAGACGUCAGAAUUUGAAUUUAUGGGAAAUUUGUGGCCAAUCGACAGUAGAUCGAUCGCAUAAUAACGGAGACAAACCGGGGUGAGGGAAAUGCAAAUCCACCGCCAUUCUGCUUGUCUUUUAUUUCAUUCUUAUAAAAGUUGGAGAUGAGUGUUCGAGUGUUUAAAUACUGCGAUCAAUUUAUAAUAAGAAAAAAUUAUUUUUUUCUUUUCUAAAGUAGAUUCGGGAGUGAUCGAAUAUUUUAAAACCGCGACCGUUUAGUAAUAGCAGGCUUCACAGUUUUUCCCCUAUUUCCCUAAAAGUCCCCUUUUUUUAAUUUUGGUCCCUAAACGCACCCUAUUUUGAAAAUUUCCCCUAAA